rnacentral:rRNA from 1 species
AUUGAACGCUGGCGGCAUGCCUUACACAUGCAAGUCGAACGGUAACAGGUUAAGCUGACGAGUGGCGAACGGGUGAGUAAUGUAUCGGAACGUGCCCAGUCGUGGGGGAUAACUGCUCGAAAGAGCAGCUAAUACCGCAUACGACCUGAGGGUGAAAGCGGGGGAUCGCAAGACCUCGCGCGAUUGGAGCGGCCGAUAUCAGAUUAGGUAGUUGGUGGGGUAAAGGCCUACCAAGCCUACGAUCUGUAGCUGGUCUGAGAGGACGACCAGCCAGACUGAGACUGGGACACGGCCCAGACUCCUACGGGAGGCAGCAGUGGGGAAUUUUGGACGAUGGACGCAAGUCUGAUCCAGCCAUGCCGCGUGCGGGAAGAAGGCCUUCGGGUUGUAAACCGCUUUUGUCAGGGAAGAAAAGGUUCUGGUUAAUACCUGGGACUCAUGACGGUACCUGAAGAAUAAGCACCGGCUAACUACGUGCCAGCAGCCGCCGUAA